rnacentral:sRNA from 1 species
CAGAGCUAGCCCGGGAAGCCCACACUAGCGGCCACGGAGCAGAGUCCCUCACCCCCACCAGCUGUAGCUGAACGUCUGGAUGGUGGAGAAGAGCAGGGUUCCGAGUCUGAGGAAGACAUAACCUUGUGCCUGCCUGCCCACCUCUCUCUCUGGUCCUGUUCAUCUCUCAGGCUCUGAGACACUGACCUUCACUGCUCAGUUAAAGGUUCCAGGGAUUCCACUUUGUCUGGACCCAUCCAGCUGAGUGAACCCAGGGUGGUGGUGUAUCUGGGGAGAGUGAGGAGUGGGUUGUCCAAACACCAGGGAUAGAGCCCUUUGGGGCCUCAGACAGAGGAGUGAAGCUGGAACCAUCAGGGAACAUGAGUGAAUUUUGGCACAAACUGGGCUGCUGUGUGGUAGAGAAACCCCAGCCGGUGAGUCUCCCCACCCCCCAUCCUAACCCAAAGAGCAGUCAGUUACCGUGUGCUGUGAGGUAGCCACACCAUCUAGGAUCUGCCAUCUAAAAAAGCACACUUCUUGCCUCCCUCUGUGUCAGGAGCUUCUAUGGUCAGGCAGCUGUAUAUGUGGAACAAAGGGGACUGGGUGAUGGAAGAAGUGAAUAGUCCUAGCUAUUACCUCCUGUUCCUGUCCAUUCUGAGCUGGGUGGGGUUUGUAGGUGGAGCUGCAUACCUGUCAGUUUUCCCCAUUAUUUCGUCAUCAGUCAGAGGUGACUUUGACAUGUCCUUUCUUUGUCCAGUGUUCACUCUGCAGGCCACUGCCCUCACUACUCUGGUUCAUGUCUUCUGUGUGCUUUUGUUGUUCCAGCUUUGUCUUUCAUGCCCCAGUGAUUUCCCUGUUAAAAUGCCACAUCCCCUCUUCCCACCAGGCCCUUAGCUUUUCAGUGGUUUUGAAGACUCUUUUCCCUUCCUCCGUGCUGACUGGAGGAGGGGCCUUAAGACAUGACUCCUUAUCUUCUCCAAGCAGAAGAAGAAGAGAAGACGGAUUGACCGGACCAUGAUUGGGGAACCAAUGAAUUUUGUCCACCUGACUCACAUUGGCUCAGGGGAGAUGGGGGCCGGAGAUGGACUUGCCAUGACAGGUGCAGUUCAGGAGCAGAUGAGAUCCAAGGGAAACCGAGAUAGGCCAUGGAGCAAUUCUAGGGGCUUAUAGCUCCAAUAAUGGAAUGGUUCUGCCAUCUUGAAACCCCCAUUCUGUUUCCAGCCCAGAAGAAAUGCUGCCCCUACCAGAUCCCUCCUUGAACCAGUGAUCUAAGGACCCCUCUUUUCCCUAUCUGCCUAACAGUGCCUCACAAGGCUUGGGGGCUGGACUCCCUCUACUCCCUCUGGCUAUAGCCCCUCCUGGAGAUGGGGUCAAGGCAGCAGGACUGAUCAAGUGACUACUGGUUAGCCAGAGGAGCUCAGCUGAAGCCCUGGAAACCCUCAGGUCUGAGAUAGGAGUUCUCUAGGAACCUGGAAUGAGUUCCUGUCUCCUGAAUGAUGGUCUGGGUGCCACCUGUUUUUAAACUCUUAAACCUGGAACUCCUUAAAUGGGGUAGGUGGGUGAGAUUAUCAAAGCUGAAGCUGGCUUUGCUGAGAAGCUCCCUACCUCCCUGCCCUUCUCCUCCUUCCUCCUGGAAUGAACUAAAGCAGAUGUCAAGCAGGGGCUGGUGGGGGUGCCUACUCCCUUUUCCACUCUAUCUUUAGAUUUCAAACCUUAGGCUUACAGCCCCUCAAUAUCUCUCUGCUAACACCAGUGUCUCUUUCUCUAGUUAGGCCUCUAAUCUUCUGUUUCUGUUUACCAGCUUCCCAGCAACUUUCCUUUUUUAAAAAUAUUAAAAAUUUAAUUCAGGUUCUCUUAAUUAUCCUCAUCCUGCUGUUGCCUCCGCCCUUAACUCUAUCCCUAUUAGGAACCUUGUUUCCCACCGAAUAAGAGUUAAGAGGUAGCUCUUCACCUGAUGACAUUCCAUUUAAGUUUUGGGGCAUCUUUCCUGCCCUCUGCCAACCUCCCUGCUGGCCCAGGUGAGAGGAGGAAGAGGGGUCUGGAAAGAAACCCAGAAUGCGGCAGAACUAGGAGUAAGUCCAUCUCAAGGUGGACUUCUGAUCAUUGAGGAUGGUGAGAUAAAUAGGUUGAAAACAAUCAUCUGUGAGUUUAGGAGUCUUAAGAUCCUCACAGCACGGGAGCAGGGAGAGGCUCUAUCUAGAACAAGGUUUCACAACCGAGAUGCCUUUGACAUUUUGGGCUGAAGUGUUCUUUGUAAGGAAAACCUGUUUCCUAUUUUGUGCAUUACAGGAUAUUUAGCAGCAUCCCUGGCCCACUCUAGUUAUGACAACCAAAAAUGUCUCUAUACAUUGCCAAAUUUCUCCUAGGGGGCAAAAUCGCCUCCAUUUGAGAACCACAACUCU